GCUUGACUGAAGAGACUCAAACUUGGAACUAGAAUACAGCAGUCACAGUUACAAGAAGAAAUGUUCCAGAAUUUGUGUCUCUGAGGAGCCCCAAUAGAUUGGUUCCAAGAGAGGUUGUGCAUCCUUGUGUUGGAGGUGGCCGGAGUUAGAGGGAGGACACAGAAGCAGCACUACAAGAAGGAAAAUAAGGGAGAAUGGCAGGACACAGAAGGACAAAAGGAUGAGGGGAAAAGGAGAGAAGAGAAUCACAUCCAAGGAACA
rnacentral:lncRNA from 1 species